GAUGAACGCUGGCGGCGUGCCUAAUACAUGCAAGUCGAGCGAACAGACGAGGAGCUUGCUCCUCUGACGUUAGCGGCGGACGGGUGAGUAACACGUGGAUAACCUACCUAUAAGACUGGGAUAACUUCGGGAAACCGGAGCUAAUACCGGAUAAUAUAUUGAACCGCAUGGUUCAAUCGUUAAAGACGGUUUUGCUGUCACUUAUAGAUUGAUCCGCGCCGCAUUAGCUAGUUGGUAAGGUAACGGCUUACCAAGGCAACGAUGCGUAGCCGACCUGAGAGGGUGAUCGGCCACACUGGAACUGAGACACGGUCCAGACUCCUACGGGAGGCAGCAGUAGGGAAUCUUACGCAAUGGGGGAAAGCCUGACAGAGCAACGCCGCGUGAGUGAUGAAGGUCUUCGGAUCGUAAAACUCUGUUAUUAGGGAAGAACAAAUGUGUAAGUAACUAGGCACGUCUUGACGGUACCGAAUCAGAAAGCCACGGCUAACUACGUG
rnacentral:rRNA from 1 species